UCUGUUUACAAAAUCAAAACAGAGAAACACGAAAUCAAAACAAAGAAACACGAAAUAAAAACGAUCGAAGUUCUGAUCGGUUUCCAGAAACAAUAGAUCUUGCCUCGUCGUCUUCUUCUUCCUGAGACGUUAUGGAGAUCGGUUGAUGAAUACACUGGAGAAAGAGAUCUCGCCUCCUCGUCUUCUUCUUUGAUUCGAUCCAACAGGUCAAGUCUUUGUUUGGUUAUGCUAAAUCCAGCACCCCGGUCAGUGUAUCGAAGAAUUGUACCAAUCUCAAUGUUGCUUGCGGAAGUGCAUAGCCUUCCCCACAAAGCUCACCUGGGUCUCCCCGUUUCUCCAGGCAAAAGGCUAGCCCCUCUUCUCUACAAUCUCCAACCAAAUCGUCAACUCAUUCCUCAGGAACAUGGAAAGGAUGAGGUUGAGUAUUUCAGACUUUGUGAUCUUUAGGACUGUUACGAUGAGCUGAGUGCAGUACUACAUCCCGUAUCUAUCAGCCAUCCAAAUCAAACCGACUUGAUUUCCAGAAUGUUGUCUCUGAACUUUGGCACACCACAACAAAAGUCCCUCAUCUGUGAAGUAUGUGAUAUGUAGUCUUUAUGCGGCUUCAGCAACACCCGGUUAGGUCGGCACAACACAACAAAAGUUCUUCGUCCGUGAACACAAAAGUUCUUCGUCCGUGAACCUUUUCAGUUUUGCUAAUUUGUUUUCUUCUACCCACUUGUGAAUCGGCUACUCCUAUCUACUUGUUGUUCAAUAAACUUGUAUAUAUAGCAAAUGAGACUCGGCUACUCUUGAAUGUAAAAACUCUCAAGUUUCAAAACUAUUCUGCUCCCAAUAACGUUGCAAACAAUCUCUCUUCCAAAUCC